rnacentral:piRNA from 1 species
UGCGUAAUCUGGAGCAGAUCAGUGAG